rnacentral:rRNA from 1 species
UGUGACUGCGUACCUUUUGUAUAAUGGGUCAGCGACUUAUAUUCAGUGGCAAGGUUAACCAUCUAGGGGAGCCGUAGGGAAACCGAGUCUUAACUGGGCGUUCAGUCUCUGGAUAUAGACCCGAAACCAGGUGAUCUAGCCAUGGGCAGGUUGAAGGUUGAGUAACAUCAACUGGAGGACCGAACCGACUAAUGUUGAAAAAUUAGCGGAUGACUUGUGGCUAGGGGUGAAAGGCCAAUCAAACCUGGAGAUAGCUGGUUCUCCCCGAAAGCUAUUUAGGUAGCGCCUCGGACGAAUACUACUGGGGGUAGAGCACUGUUAAGGCUAGGGGGUCAUCCCGACUUACCAACCCUUUGCAAACUCCGAAUACCAGUAAGUACUAUCCGGGAGACACACGGCGGGUGCUAACGUCCGUCGUGGAGAGGGAAACAACCCAGACCGCCAGCUAAGGUCCCAAAUUACUACUAAGUGGGAAACGAUGUGGGAAGGCUCAGACAGCCAGGAUGUUGGCUUAGAAGCAGCCAUCAUUUAAAGAAAGCGUAAUAGCUCACUGGUCGAGUCGGCCUGCGCGGAAGAUGUAACGGGGCUAAGUAGUAAACCGAAGCUGCGGCAAUGUGCUUUUGCACAUUGGGUAGGGGAGCGUUCUGUAAGCGGUUGAAGGUGUGUGGUAACGCAUGCUGGACGUAUCAGAAGUGCGAAUGCUGACAUGAGUAACGAUAAAGGGGGUGAAAAACCUCCUCGCCGGAAGACCAAGGGUUCCUGUCCAACGUUAAUCGGGGCAGGGUAAGUCGACCCCUAAGGCGAGGCCGAAAGGCGUAGUCGAUGGGAAACGGGUUAAUAUUCCCGUACUUCUUACAAUUGCGAUGGGGGGACGGAGAAGGCUAGGUGGGCCUGGCGACGGUUGUCCA